UAUUCUGUGGCUCAGUCAGUAGAGUAUUAUGCUAGCAAUGCAAAGAUCCUGGGUUCAAACCUCAGGGAAAGAA